rnacentral:tmRNA from 1 species
UGAGAGUUUCUUCCUUGAAAUCCGUGACCUUUGCCCUCAUACUGAAUGCACGGUUGUAAUUCCGGCAAUCUGGCGGCGUUCUGGACGCGGGUUCGAUUCCCGCCACCUCCACCUAAGAGCAUCAUUUGCAUCGAGUCGUGGUGUUCUUAGUUGGGGGUGCACUGGUUUCGACGGGGUGAGUGAAGGAAAGCAGGCAACUCGUCAGGCGAUCGACGUUAAUGAAGCAAAUCCUUAAUUGCCAAUGAUGAGCAAUUUGCUAUUGCCGCCUAAAAAACGGCUAGCCGGGGCUGCUAGAGCCUUGUAACCAAAGAUAGCCGGCGGGGACUUCGGUCCCCGUCGUCA